GCCGAACAGAAUCAUGGCUGGUGCUCCACACGUCACUCCUGGUGCUUUUUUGAUUGGCGAUGCAUUCAAUAUGCGGCAUGCUAUAACUGCAGGGGGAAUGACUGUUGCUUUAUCUGAUGUUGUGAUACUUAGGGAUCUUCUAAGACCCUUGCAUGAUCUAUCUGAUGCAUCCGCCAUUUGCAAAUAUCUUGAAUCCUUUUAUACUCUGAGGAAGGUAUUGUAAUUCAUGUCCUAUAUGAAUUUUUUAAAGUGAAUAAAAAGGAACAAAAAAUGGCAUAAAUUUUCACUUUUAACUGCAUGCAGCCAAUGUCAUCUACGAUAAAUACACUAGCCAAUGUUUUACAUAAGGUAUUUAGUGCCCCGUCCGAUCCUGCAAUGGAGAAUCUGCAACAAACAUUGUUGGGGUAUUUGAAACUUGGAGGGGUUUUUUCAUCUGGAGUAUCAGCUCUGCUCUCUGGUUUAUGCCCUCGUCCAUUAAGCUUAGUAUUUCAUUUCAUUGUCAUGGCAAUGUAUGGUGUUGGCCAGUUGUUACUUCCAUUUCCUUCUCCCAAACGCUUGUUGGAUGGGGCUAAACUCCUUUGGGUCAGUAUCUCUAGCAAUGAUCAUUUCUCAUAUAUCAUGAUCACUAACACGAUAAAAAUAUAUAAUAAUUUUAAAAUGACGUUAUUUUUUUUUGUUUUUUCAGGUUGCAUCAAGUGUUUUUCUCCCCAUUAUACACUCUGAAGGAGUCAGACAAAUGUUUUUCCCUCUAACUGUGCCAGCAUAUUAUAGAACUCCCCCUAAGGGAAAAAAAAUCUGAGAGGAAACUCCAUGCAUCUGUAGUGAACAAUUCUAUAUAUAUUCGCAAUAGAUUUUCAUAUUUGUUUCUAGUUAGCAUUCUCAAGUAGGCUUAAUGGUCGUUUGUACUCAUACUAUUUUUAUGUGUCUUGUGUAAAAUUCUAAAUAAAGGUUUUGUAAUUCUUGUGUUGGUGUUAUUUUUAUGUAUCUUGUUUGAAAUAUUGAACUAACGCGUUAGUAUUUUUAAGUAGGUUCAAUAAGCAUCCUAUUCGUAUUGUUUUUGUUAAUAUAACUUAUUCAUGAGUUCAUUAAUAUUAAUAAGUGUGUAGCGAUCUCAUGAGUUUGGAAAGCUCUUUGGGAGAGAUUUUGCACAACUUGAGUGUAUAUCCUAAAGCAUUUGUUGCGAUGGACAGGAUUUUUCUAGAUAGAGCUUUGAUAUAGGUGACUUGAGUGGAAAUAUCUAUCCAAAUUUUGCACAAAUUUACGACCAAGUGAAUAAAGUUGAGUUUAUGAUGCAUUUUCGAUAAAAUAUCUUUUUAGCUAACUGGGCGGCAAAAGUGACAUUAAAUAUUCCAGAAAAGAUCUUUGAUGCACUCCCCAAGCGUAUAGCAGAACUUCCCCCGGCAAUACCAAAAAAUAAGUUAAUUUGUCUUUUCCCUUGGUUUUUUCUCCAAUAAUAAUUUAUCCUUUUUGUUUCUGCAUUACGUGUGGUGGAGGUACAUCUAUCAUAUUUUUGUCAACUUUUUUGUUUUUCCAUUACGUGAGGUGGACAGCGGCCAAACUAUGGGACUCCCUCACUUAAAAUAGAAAAUUUUUUAUUUAAAUUUUUAAAAUUUUUAAAAUUUUAAAUUAAAAAAAUAAAAUUGUACUUUGAUGUUUUUUAAAGUUGAUAAAAAUUUAAUUUAAUUUUUUAAAAAAUUAUAAAGAUAUAGGCUAUUAAAAUAGUAAAAUUAUAUUUUUAUUGUCAUAAAAAUUACAAUUUAAUUUCGACCUUCUAAAUUUUUUUUGUGACAUUCGGGACUAAACUGAAUAAAUUAAAAGUUGUUAAGAAAUUAUGCCAUAGACUAAAAAUACAAGGUCUCUAACAUGAAAGUAUAUGAAAUCAGAUUUUGAUUCAAUACUAAAGAUUGAAAAGUAUGAGCAUUUCUAAUAUAGGGAAAAAUGAAGAAAAUACAAAAUAUAUUUGAUUAUAUGUUUAUCAUGUGGUUGAGUGAAAACUAAAGCUAUUUUAUAAUUGAAUUAUCGAACGUAGCUAAAAACAAUGUCAGGCCGUCCUAAGAUAAAGGAAAUGCAAGAAUCGAAGAAAGUAAUUAAUACGAACUAAUACGAUUUGUACAUUCAUGAUUCAAAUUCAAUAUUUGCAAACUAAAUUGUCUCAUGGUUUGGUUUGUAUUUCAAUACUAUUGAACAUAUGUUUGAUCUUUAGAUUUGUAAUUUGUAAAUGUUUAAUUUAAAUAUGAUAUAAAAGUAUGAAAAGUAAAAAAAAAAAACGUGAUGAUAAUAAUAUUAAUUAUAAUUUAAAAGAAGAGAUAUUUUAUUAUUUUUAUUUCACUUUAAAAUAGAUCUGAUUUUACGAAAAUUUGAAACAAUAGAGAACUAACCUAGUAAAAAGUAUACUUUAUACUUUAUAAUUAAUAUUGUUUGAUAGAGAGCUGUUCUAAAAGUAUCACAAAAAUUAUCGAAUUAUUUAUUUUAUAUAAAGAAAAACUUAUAACCACUAAAUACAUAUUAAUAAAGACCUAAUAUUUAAUCAAUAUGAUAAAAAUAUCGAAUCAAUUUAAAAUUGUACAUGCAUAAGAACCACAUUAUUUAUAUCGAUAUAUUCAUUUUAUAAUUAUAUAAAAGUUUGAGUAAAACUAUUAGCUUUACAGGUGGAUCUCAGAGGCGAAGUAAGAAAAUUUUUAAGUGAAAUUAAAUUAUAUAUUUUUAAGAUAAUAAAAAUAUAAUUUUACUAUUUUUAAUAGUCCAUACUUUUAUAAAUUUUAAAAAGUUAAAUUAAAAUUUUAUCCUUUAUCAAAUAUUAUUAAUUUAAAAUUUUAUAAAAUAUCUGGUGGAGUACUGUGAUUUUAGUUGCCACUUGUGCAAAGGGAUAAGCCACUGACAUGACUGCAUCUGCAUCCAUGAAAGAAGCCAAAUUGAAUUGUAACUUACUGCUCCUUUACGCUAAGAAUUUUUUCAGAGACGUGGAAGUACAAAAACAGGCGGUGCUUCUUCAUUCUUAUAUAAAUGCUGUUCUUCUUGAUUAUUCUUUCCAUACAUUGUUCUUAAAACAAUGGCUGGGCAGUUUAUAGUUGGAGUUGCAAAUGUUAUAGCCUUGCUUUUGGGGUUUGUUUUCUUAGUGAGAUUUUGGGGGCUGAGCAAGCUGAAAAGAGCAGCUUCAAUGGGGUUCCCAAAGGAAAACUGUGUAAACAAAAAUGGAAAUGGUGAGGGUGAGAGUGAGAGUGAGGGUGUUGGGACUGCAGAAAUUAUCAUAGUCGGCGCUGGUGUUGCCGGUGCUGCUCUUGCCUAUUCUCUUGGAAAGGUCCCAAUUUUUUAUCACCUUUAUUUUAAUUUUAUAGAAUUAAGUUUCGACUUGGGAUAAUAAUAGUAUUGAACUCUAAAAGGAUCUUGGAGCCACAUACAUGACUCUCCCAACUUUUCCAAUAUUUUUGUAGUGAAAGAGAUUGUUUUAAUUUUUUAUUUAAAUUUUAUAUUUAGUAAUUUUAUUUCCUUAAAGGAACAUCGUGCACAGUUUUAAGUAGGUCUGCUCAUGACCUGGUCCAGCUCAAAAGCCCGCUCGAAAAAUAGAAGAUUUAGGUAAAAAUAUAGGCUCAAAAAAUGAGCUUGGGAGAAAAAUGCCCAUUUAGAAAACGGGCUAAGCCUCAAGUAAGGUUUUUUAGCCCGGCCCAAAUAUGUAGUUUUUUUUUUUUACAAUUUUUUUCUAUUUUCUUGUUGUUGUUUUUCACUAUUUUGCUACUAUUUCACUAUUAUGUCAUUAUUUUGUUGUUAUUGUAUAACUAUUGUUUUAUUGUUAAUUUUGUUAUUAUUUUAGAGGUAUUUGCUUGUUAAGUUGCACUUAUCUUAGUGUUAUUUAAGUAUACAUUUUUUUAAAAAUUUAUUUUCAAUUUGUUGGAAAACAAUUAUUUUAAUAUUUUUAAUAUUUUUUUAAAAAAAAUUAAUACAAGCGGAGCCCGGGUUUUAACAUUUUAUUCGGGCUAGGCUUGAGCAAAAUUUAAGGACCAUUUUUUGGGCCCGGGCCAAGCAAACGAGUCUAAAAUUUUGGUUUUGCCCGGCCAAACCCAUAAACACCUCUAGUUUUAAGUAAUCAUAUGUUAUUUCUUCUUAAUUGUUCUUUUUAAAUAUGUAUUUAUGCCAUCUUUUUUUAACUUACAUAUAUGUCUUUUUUGUAGUAUAACUAACAUACAUAAUAUACGUUACCAGAAAUAAAUAUAAAAGAUACUUUAAUUAUGACAAAUAAAAAAAUUGAAAUUCCUUCUUAAUUAUAUUUAAUGUAGAAAUACAUAUAAAUAUCUAAGAUUUUUAAAAAUAUUGUAGAGGUGGGGAAUGUCGCAUUUAGCUUCAAUUAACAUCAGUUUCUCUUCAAGUUACCAUAAGAUCCUUGAAAAAUGGAGUUAACUAUGAUGUUAUACCUAAUAAUACUUCUAUAAUUAUAUAUUGUAGGAUGGACGUCGAGUGCGAGUGAUAGAAAGGGACUUAAAUGCACCUAAUAGAAUUGCUGGUGAAGCUCUAAUGCCUGGAGGCUACCUCAAGUUAAUUGAAUUAGGCCUUGAAGAUAAAUAAGAAUAGUGGAUGCAAUAUAAUAUUUCAAUGUCAUUUCUUUAAAUAUAUUACUUUGAAUGUUGGCACUACAGAUUGCUUAGAUGAGAUUGAUGCUCAACGAUUUUUGGGUUAUACUCUAAACAAGGAUGGAAAGGAGGCUCUCAUAUCUUUUCCAUUGGAAAAGAUUCAUUCUCAUGUUGUAGGAAGAACUUUCCAUAACGGUCGUUUCGUUCAAACAUUACGAAAGAAAGUAGCAUCUCUUCACAAAUACUUUCUCUCCUUCCUCCCAAUCAUUCUUUAAUUUCAAUUUAAUAUAUUAGAACAUUUAUCUUAAUGGAUUAAAUGACUUGUAGUUGUUUUGAUCCAUUACUUUUGUUUAUGAGCUCGUCCAGUUGAUUUUGGUUUGAUCAAUUUAGAUAAAAUCACUCAAGUUUUAAAACUAACACAUCAUUUUGGUUUUUAUCAUUUUAGGCUAAGGAUUAUUUUGGGUUCAGAUCAUUUCCAGUUUAUAUUUGAGUCAUUUUGCUCCGGGUUUCAAAUUUUUGAGUGUGGUCAUUACAAUUUCAUAUCGUUUUGGUUCUAGUCACUUCGAGUUUGGAUCCUUCCAAGUUAAUUUUUGAAUCAUUUUGGGUCUGACUUGUUUUAAGUUCAAGUUAGUUUGGGUUAGAGUAAAAUUUUGUUCAAGUUGGAGGGACUCAAAUUGUGGACCCUUUAUAGUCAAAUCAAAUUGGAUCAAAUUUAAGUUCCAAUUGGUCGAGUCAAAUUUUCAAAUUCAAGUCAAAAUUGACAUGUCUGGUUCUGUUACUAUUACUUUGUUUCAACUUGUUUUAAUCAGAAAUUAUGCCUCUCUUUACAAGGUCCAAAUUCAUGUUUUUAUGAUAUGAUAACGCAGUGUAAGUUUAGAACAAGGGACAGUAAUAUCUCUACUUGAAGAAAAUGGUAUUGUCAAAGGAGUGCACUAUAAAGAUAAGAGUGGUCAAUUGCUAACAGCUUACGCUCCUCUCACCAUUGUCUGUGAUGGUUGUUUCUCGAAUUUGAGACACUCUCUCUGCCAUUCUAAGGUGAAAAAAAUGUUUACGUAUUCUUGUUAAAUUAGUUUAAUUCUUAUUUUAGUCACUCUAUAACGUUAAAAAUUUGAGAUUUAGUCCUAUUUUAUUGUGACAUAAUUUGAUUCCAUUGUAUUUGUGAUGAUAUUAGUAUGUCAAAAUAGAUCAGUUGUUUUUGUUAAAGAAUUGACUUACUUUUUGGCUAUAUAGUCAAGGUUACAUUGAAAUCAAGUUAAUUAAGUUCAACAAAUAAUGAAAUUACAUGUUACUCAAAUGUUAGUUUUAAUGGAGAUGUAUGUCAUUAUUUCAAUGGUAACAAUUAAGGAUGUCAUCAAUUUGGACCCACAAUAAAAGUAGAGAGACUAAAUUUUGCCAAAUUGAAAUAGAGGAAUAAAAUUCCAAUUCCAGCUUGGUAGAGGGACUAAAACCAUAAUUAGACAUAAAUUAUAUGCUUGGAGAAAAUAUACUUACAAAGGUCUUGAUUUUUUGUGCAGGUGGAUAUCCCCUCUUAUUUUGUUGGUUUUAUCUUAACGAACUGUAAACUUCCAAAAGAAAAUUUUGGAGCUUUUAUAUUAGCAGAUCCUUCACCUAUCCUAUUUUAUCCCAUUAGUAGCACAGAAAUUCGUUGCUUGGUGGAUGUUCCUAGUCAAAAUCUGCCCUCUGUUUCCAAUGGUGUAAUGGCUCAUUACUUGAAAACUUUGGUGGCUCCCAAGGUAUAUUUAUUUCUUUAAUCGACUCAUUAAUGGAAUUUGGUUGAACUUAUGGGCUAACUAUAUGAUCUAUGAUACAUUUCAGGUUCUUCCUGAAUUUUACAAUUCCUUUAUAUCUGCAAUAGAGAAGAAGGACAACAUAAGAAUAAUGCCGAACAAAAUCAUGGCUGGUGCUCCACACCUCACUCCUGGUGCUUUUUUGAUCGGCGAUGCAUUCAAUAUGCGGCAUGCUAUAACUGGAGGGGGAAUGACUGUUGCUUUAUCUGAUGUUGUGAUACUUAGGAAUCUUCUAAGACCCUUGCAUGAUCUAUCUGAUGCAUCCGCCAUUUGCAAAUAUCUCGAAUCCUUUUAUACUCUGAGGAAGGUAUUGUAGUUCAUGUCCUAUAUGAAUUUUUUAAAGUGAAUAAAAAGGAACAAAAAAUGGCAUAAAUUUUCACUUUUAACUGCAUGCAGCCAAUGUCAUCUACGAUAAAUACACUAGCCAAUGUCUUACAUAUGGUAUUUAGUGCCCCGUCCGAUCCUGCAAUGGAGAAUCUGCAACAAACAUUGUUGGGGUAUUUGAAACUUGGAGGGGUUUUUUCAUCUGGAGUAUCAGCUCUGCUCUCUGGUUUAUGCCCUCGUCCAUUAAGCUUAGCAUUUCAUUUCAUUGUCAUGGCAAUAUAUGGUGUUGGCCAGUUGUUACUUCCAUUUCCUUCUCCCAAACGCUUGUUGGAUGGAGCUAAACUCCUUUGGGUCAGUAUCUCUACCAAUCAUUUCUCAUAUAUCAUGAUCACUAACACGUUAAAAAUAUAUAAUAAUUUUAAAAUGACGUUCUUUUUUUUUUUCUUUUGUUUUUUCAGGUUGCAUCAAGUGUUUUUCUCCCCAUUAUACACUCUGAAGGAGUCAGACAAAUGUUUUUCCCUCUAACCGUGCCAGCAUAUUAUAGAACUCCCCCUAAGGGAAAAAAAAUCUAAGAGGAAACUCCAUGCAUCUGUAGUGAACAAUUCUAUAUAUAUUCGCAAUAGAUUUUCAUAUUUGUUUCUAGUUAGCAUUCUCACGUAGGCUUAAUGGUCGUUUGUACUCAUAUUAUUUUUAUGUGUCUUGUUUAAAAUUCUAAAUAAAGGUUUAGUAAUUCUUGUGUUGGUGUUAUUUUUAUGUAUCUUGUUUGAAAUAUUAAACUAACGAGUUAGCAUUUUUAAGUAGGUUCAAUAAGCAUCCUAUUCGUAUUAUUUUUGUUAAUAUAAAUUAUUCAUGAGUUUAUUAAUAUUAAUAAGUCUAUAGAGAUCUCAUGAAUUUGGAAGGCUCUUUGCGAGAGAUUUGGCACAACUUGAGUGUAUAUCCUAAAGCAUUUCUUGGGAUGGAUAGGAUUUUUCUAGAUAGAGCUUUGAUAUAGGUGACUUGAGUGGAAACAUCUAUCCAAAUUUUGCAGAAAUGGACGGCAAAAGUGACAUUAAAUAUUCCAGAAAAGAUCUUUGAUGCACUCCCCAAGCGUAUAGCAGAACUCCCCCGGCAAUACCAAAAAAUAAGUUAAUUUGUCUUUUCCCUUGGUUUUUUGUUUUUGCUUUACGUGUGGUGGAGGUACAUCUAUCAUAUUUUUGUCAACUUUUUGUUUUUCCAUUACGUGAGGUGGACAGCGGCCAAACUAUGGGACUCCCUCACUUAAAUAGAAAAUUUUUUAUUUAAAAUUUUAAAAUUUUUAAAAUUUUAUGUGGAAACCAUUUUUUUAUAUUUGAAAAAUGGGAAUUCAUUUUGAAAAUGGAGUCGCCACCAAUCUUUUAGGUGGUGUGAUCGGGUCACCUUAAAAAUGAUUUUAGGUCUACGAAUUUUGAGAAAAUAAGUUUGGGAGUAGGUUACGCACGAGGAAGGGUUAACACCCUCGUAACGCCAAAAUUGGUACCGAAUUAAUUAUUUAAUGUCUUAGUGUCGAAACUUGAAAAGAUUUUUAAAAACGAUCCCAUGAAAUGAAAGCUUAAAUAAUUGAACUGGCUAAAUAGAAGGACCUAUUUCAAAGAGAUAAAUCGCUACACUCAAUAAGUUAGAGUGCAACAAUUCAAUCUUUGAAGUUAGAUUCGUCUUUCUUUUUUUUAAUAUUUUUAAAAAAAUCAUAUGUUUUAAGAAGGAUAUUUGAUUAUUUAAGUCAAUCGAGAAAUCAGAAUCCAGUAAGUGAGGGUUCAAUUUCUCGAAAUUCUUAAACAUCAAAUAUUACCUUUAUUUUAAAAUCGAGAUAACAAAAUAUCAUAUCCAGUAAGUUAGGAUCCAACAUUUUGAAAUCUUAAGAACUUUAUUUUAACAAUUGUAUGGUUUUAAUAAAAUGAACACAUGUACACUAAAAAUAAUUCCAUAUAAAUUAUAUAUACGUAUAUAUAAAAGAACCAUGUAAUAUUAUUGUGAAAAUAAAAUUUGAGUUAUAUUAUGAAAUACAUUAUUUAAAAAUAAUAAGUAAUAUAUCAAAUUUUUAUAAAAAUAUAUCAAGAUUGAUGGAAACAAAUAAUAAUAUAUCAAGUUGGAAAAUAAAAGUGUACAAUAGAUAUUUUGAAAUAAUGUUUAAUAAAUUUAACAUAUAUUUGAUAAUAAUAAUUUGAAAGAAUUGUGUAUUAUAUCUUAAAAUUAUAUUAAUAAUAAGUUUGAAAAAAAUAUUAAGCCAAUAUUAAAAUAAUAGUAAAAAUAACGGAUUAAUAUAAGAAUUGAUUUAUUUUUAAAAAAUACUUUUGAAGGAAAAAUUAAAUAUGAAAAAACAUUUUUAAAAUUAACAACAAUAAUUAUAAUAAUAUCAACAAAUUUUAAAAUCGAAGCUUACAUAAAAUUAGAAUAAAAAAGGAAAACAAAAUUAAAUAAAUAUACAAUAGAGUCAAAAAUAUUGGUGUAUAAUGAAUUUAAAAAUAUAAAAUACAAGCUAAAAUAAUAAUUUAUUACAUUUUAAACUAUAAUAAUAAUAAAUUUAAACACUAUCAAAAUUAAAUAUUACAAAUAAUAUUAAAUUUUAUAAUAUAUGAAAGUAGGAUUAAUUACAUUUAAAAAUAUUAUUGAAUUAAAAAAGAAAACUAAAUUUGCAUUAAAUUGAAACCUAUUUCAACGUUGAAGGACUAAAUCAACAAUUAAAUGCAAAACCUGAAUAAUCAAAAUCAAUCGCAGAAAACGGUGCCGUUUAGGCUUGGAUCCAAAUGAAAACAGAAUUAAAUAUGCGGUACAAAUUAAAAAAAUUGAAGAAAAUUAGAUUGAAACUACAUAAAACAUAGAGGGACUCAUUUUGCAAAUAGACCAACGAACGAAAACGCGCGGAUCCUGCCCCGGGUCGGGUCACUGCGCUGAUACUAGCGUUAUACGACGCCGUUUUGAGACCACCAAGCCCGGCCUCAAACGACGCCGUUUCUAGUUAGACAUAAAAACUAAAAUAACCCUAAUUUAAACAGACUUUUCUUCCUAAAAAAAGAAAAGCAGGGACUUAAGAUGAACAGAUCCUCGGCGCCGCAUUUUGGAACCUACUGCUCAUGGGACCUUCAACCCUCGCCCGGCUCCAAUUGUGACGAAGCGAACGACGGUCAGGUAAGUUCCUCGCUCUUUUUUUCUUUUCUACUUCAAUAUUAAUCAAUGAACAAAGGAGCGGAAAAACAAAGAAAAGAUUAACAAUGACCUUUCGAAUCUUUUCUUUUCUCUGAAAAUGAGUUUUUUUUUUUUGUAUUCAAUUUCUCUGAAUGUGUCUCUGUGUGUAACUCCUUACAAAGGUUUCGCCUUUUGUUUUAUAGGCCGAAAAUAAAAAAAAAUGAAAUAUAAAAAUACAAUUUUCUGUUUUCUGCUAGUUGUUUGCUCUAUUUGCAGGUACGACGUACGGAGGGGGGACAUGGCGUGUACAGAGUGGCACGUGGCGGUGGCGUACGUGCGAGGGAAGGCCCUGGUGGCUGCAGCGCGUACGAAGGCAGAGUCUGGGUCUUGGUUGCUGCGGCGCUGGGAUCUCCUAGGGUUUCUGUAUGCUGCUUGGUGUUGGGCCGUCGGGCUAGGGUUGGCUAAUGGGCAUUAGGCUUAGUGGGUUUGAUUUUUGGGCUGGUAAUUUGGGGCUGGAGGGUUAGGUAUUGGGUUAACAGUUUAGGCUUGGGAAUUUGGAUUUUGUAAUCGGGUUUGGGCUUAAUGUAUUUUGGUUUGUAAUCUGGACUGAUGUUAUUGGACUUUUAUUAUAUAUAUUUUUUGUAUUUGGGUUUUAAUAUUCGUAUCCGGCCGGGCAAAUUAAUAAAAAUAAAAUUGUACUUUCAGCUUUCUUAAAGUUGAUAAAAAUUUAAUUUAAUUCUUUAAAAAUUAUAAAGAUAUAGGCUAUUAAAAUAGUAAAAUUGUAUUUUUAUUGUCAUAAAAAUUACAAUUUAAUUUCGACCUUCUAAUUUUUUUGUGACAUUAGGGACUAAAUUGAAUAAAUUAAAAGUUGUUAAGAAAUUAUGCCAUAGACUAAAAAUACAAGGUCUCUAACAUGAAAGUAUAUGAAAUCAGAUUUUGAUUUAAUACUAAAGACUGAAAAGUAUGAGUAUUUCGAAUAUAGGGAAAAAUGAAGAAAAUACAAAAUAUAUUUGAUUAUAUAUAUGUUUAUCAUGUGGUUGAGUGAAAACUAAAGCUAUUUUAUAAUUGAAUUAUCGAACGUAGCUAAAAAUAAUGUCAGGCCGUCCUGAGAUAAAGGAAAUGCGAGAAUCGUAGAAAGUAAUUAAUGCAAACUAAUACAAUUUGUACAUUCAUGAUUCAAAUUCAAUAUUUACAAACUAACUUGUCUCAUGGUUUGGUUUGUAUUUCAAUACUAUUGAACAUAUGUUUGAUCUUUAGAUUUGUAAUUUGUAAAUGUUUAAUUUAAAUAUGAUAUAAAAGUAUGAAAAGUAAAAAAAAAUUGUGAUCAUAAUAAUAUUAAUUAUAAUUUAAAAGAAGAGAUAUUUUAUUAUUUUUAUUUCACUUAAAAAUAAAACUGAUUUUACGAAAAUUUGAAACAAUAGGUUAUUAUAGAGAACUAACCUAGUAAAAAGUGUACUUUAUACUUUAUAAUUAAUAUUGUUCGAUAGAAAGUUGUUCUAAAAGUAUCACAAAAAUUAUUGAAUUAUUUAUUUUAUAUAAAGAAAAACUUAUAACCACUAAAUACAUAUUAAUAAAGAUCCAAUAUUUAAUCAAUAUGAUAAAAAUAUCGAAUCAAUUUAAAAUUGUACAUGCAUAAGAACCAAAUUUAUAUCGAUAUAUUCAUUUUAUAAUUAUAUAAAAGUUUGAGUAAACUAUUAGCUUUACCUGGUGAAAUAAAAUUUUUUUAAGUGAAAUUAAAUUAUAUAUUUUUACGAUAGUAAAAAUAUAAUUUUACUAUUCAAUUUAAAAUUGUACAUGCAUAAGAACCAAAUUUAUAUCGAUAUAUUCAUUUUAUAAUUAUAUAAAAGUUUGAGUAAACUAUUAGCUUUACCUGGUGAAAUAAAUUUUUUUUAAGUGAAAUUAAAUUAUAUAUUUUUAUGAUAGUAAAAAUAUAAUUUUACUAUUUUUAAUAUUUUAUACUUUUAUAAAUUUUAAAAGAUUAAAUUAAAAUUUUACCAUUUAUGAAAGAUUAUUAAUUUAAAAUUUUAAAAAAUAUGUGGCGGAUCCUUUGAUAUUUUUAUUGAUACAAAAAAGUAGAGGCUCGAGUAGAGUUCUGUGAUUUUAGUUGCCACUUGUGCAAAGGGUUAAGCUACUGACAUGACUGCAUCCAUGAAAGAAGACAAAUUGAAUUGUAACUUACUGCUCCUUUACGUUAAGAUUAAAAAACAGGCGGUAUGCUUCUUCACUCACCAUUGGUUGGUCCUGUUCUUCUUGAUUAUUCUUUCCAUACAUUGUUCUUAAAUCAAUGGCUGGGCAGUUUAUAGUUGGAGUUGCAGAUGUUAUAGCCUUUCUUUUGGGGUUUGUUUUCUUAGUGAGAUUUUGGGGGCUGAGCAAGCUGAAAAGAGCAGCUUCAAUGGGGUUCCCAGAGGAAAACUGUGUAAACAAAAAUGGAAAUGGUGAGGGUGAGGGUGUUGGCACUACAGAAAUUAUCAUAGUCAGUGCUGGUGUUGCCGGUGCUGCUCUUGCCUAUUCUCUUGGAAAGGUCCCAAUUUUUUAUCACCUUUAUUUUAAUUUUAUGGAAUAUAAGUUCCGACUUGGGAUAAUAAUAGUAAUGAACACUAAAAAGAUCUUGGAGCCAUAAACAUGACUCUCCCAACUUCUCCAAUAUUUUUAUAGUACUAAAAAUAAUAUAAAACAAAUUUAUUCAACUCUAAAAAAAUAAGGGUUCUUCAAAACAAAAUAGAGGAUGAGUUUUUUUAUAGAUAAUCUUAUUGUUUAUAUUGGGAGAGAUUGUUAAAAUUUUUUAUUUAGAUUUUAUAUUUAGUGAUUUUAUUUUUUUGAAGAACAACGUGCGCAGUUUUAAGUAGGCUUGCUCAUGAACCGGCCCAGCCCAAAGGCCCGCUCGAAAAAUGAGAGGGUUUUGAUAAAAAUAUAGGCUCGAAAAAUAGGUUUGAUCGAAAAAUGCCCGUUUAGAAAAUGGGCUAAGCCUCAAGUAAGGUUUUUCGGCCCGACCCAAAUAUGUAGUUUUUUUUUUGCUUUUUUUUUUCCUAUUUUCUUGUUGUUUUUCUCACUAUUUUGCUACUAUUUCACUAUUAUGUUGCUACUAUUUUUUUGUUAUUGUAUAACUUUUGUUUUAUUGUUAAUUUUGUUACUAUUUUAGAGGUAUUUGCUUGUUAAGUUGCACUUAUUCUAGUGUUAUUUAAGUAUACAUUUUUUAAAAAUUUAUUUUCAAUUUGUUGGGAAACAUUUAUUUUAAUGUUUUUAGUAUUUUUGAUGUAUUAUAUCUUUAAAGAAAAUUAUAUAAAAAAGUGAUAUAAAAAAUUAAUACAGGCCGAGCCCGGAUUUUAACAUUUUAUCUGGGCUAGGCUUGGGCAAAAUUUUAGGCACAUUUUUUGGGCUCGGGCCAAGCAAAUAAGUCUAAAAUUUUGGUUGGGCUUUGCCCGACCCAUAAACACCUCUAGUUUUAAGUAAUCAUAUGUUAUUUCUUCUUAAUUGUUCUUUUUAAAUAUGUAUUUAUGCUAUCUUUUUUUAACUUAUAUAUAUUUAGAAAUAUAAUAUGGAACAAAAACUUUAUAUAAUUUUUUGUAGUAUAACUAACAUACAUAAUAUACGUUACAGGAUUUUGUUUUAUGUAGAACGUCUAAUUUUAGUUUAGCUUCCUAAAGUUAACAUCCUCACUCCGUCACUGUUAAAUAUUGUAAAAUAAAUAUAAAAGAUACUUUAAUAAUGUCAAAUAAAAAAUUGAAAUUCCAUCUUAAUUAUAUUUAAUGUAGAAAUACAUAUAAAUAUCUAAGAUUUUUAAAAAUAUUGUAGAUGUGGGGAAUGCUGCAUUUAGCUUCAAUUAACAUCAGUUUCUCUUCAAGUUACCAUAAGAUCCUUGAAAAAUGGAUUUAAUUAUGAUGUUAUACCUAAUAAUUCUUCUGUAAUUAUAUAUAGCAGGAUGGACGUCGAGUGCGAGUGAUAGAAAGGGACUUAAAUGCACCUAAUAGAAUUGCUGGUGAAGGUCUGAUGCCUGGAGGAUACCUAAGUUAAUUGAAUUAGGCCUCGGAGGUAAAUAAGAAAAAUAAUGGAAUAUAAUGUUACAAUGACAUUUCUUUGUAUAUUUUUAUUUAUUUAUUUUACAUUGAAUGCUGGCACUACAGAUUGUGUAGAUGAGAUUGAUGCUCAACCAAUUUUAGGUUAUACUCUAAACAAGGAUGGAAAGGAGGCUCUCGUAUCUUUCCCAUUGGAAAAGUUUCAGUCUCAUGUUGUAGGAAGAACCUUCCAUAAUGGUCGUUUCGUUCAAAGAUUGCGAAAGAAAGCCGCAUCUCUUCACAAGUACUUUCUCUCCUUCCUCCAAAUAUAAUAUUUUAGAACAUUUAUCUUAAUGGAUUAAAUGGCUUCUAGUUGUUUUGAUCCAUUACUUCUGUUUAGACUUAUCAAUUGAGCUCAUUCAGUUGAUUUUGGUUUGAUUAAUCUAGAUAAAAUCACUCAAGUUUUAAAAUUAACACAUCAUUUUGGUUUUUAUCAUUGUAGGCUAAGGAUUAUUUUGAGUUCAUAUCAUUUCAAGUUUAGAUUUGAGUCAUUUUGGGUUCAAACAUUAGAGCUCCAGGUUCUAAAUUUUUGAGUCUAGUCAUUACAAUUUAAUAUCGUUUUGGUUCUAGUCACUUUGAGUUUGGGUCCUUUCAAGUUAAUUUUUGAAUCAUUUUGAGUUUGAGUUGUUUUAAGUUCAAGCUAGUUUGGGUUAGGGUAAAAUUUUGUUCAAGUUGGAGGGACUCAAAUUGUGGACCCUUUACAAUUUUUGAGUCUGGUCAUUACAAUUUCAUAUCAUUUUGGUUCUAGUCACUUCGAGUUUGGGUCCUUUCAAGUUAAUUUUUGAAUCAUUUUGGGUUUGAGUUAUUUAAGUUCAAGUUAGUUUGGGUUAGAGUAAAAUUUCGUUCAAGUUGGAGGGACUCAAAUUGUGGACCCUUUAUAGUCAAAUCAAAUUGGAUCAAAUUUAAGUUCCAAUUGGUCGAGUCAAAUUUUCAAAUUCAAGUCAAAAUUGACAUGUCUGGUUCUGUUACUAUUACUUUGUUUCAACUUGUUUUACUCAGAAAUUAUGCCUCUCUUUACAAGCUCCAAAUUCAUGUUUUGUAGAUAUGAUAACGCAGUGUAAGUUUAGAAUAAGGGAUAGUAACAUCUCUACUUGAAGAAAAUGGUAUUGUCAAAGGAGUGCACUAUAAAGAUAAGAGUGGUCAAUUGUUAACAGCUUACGCUCCUUUCACCAUCGUCUGUGAUGGUUGUUUCUCUAAUUUGAGACGCUCUCUCUGCCAUUCUAAGGUGAAAGAAAUGCUUACGUAUUCUUGUUAAAUUAGCUUAAUUCUUAUUUUAGUCACUCUAUAACGUUAAAAAUUUGAGAUUUAGUCCUAUUUUAUUGUGACAUAAUUUGAUUCCAUUGUAUUUGUGAUGAUAUUAGUAUGUCAAAAUAGAUCAGUUGUUUUUAUUAAAGAAUUGACUUAUUUUUUGGUUAUAUAGUCAAGGUUACAUUGAAAUCAAGUUAAUUAAGUUCAACUAAUAAUGAAAUUACAUGUUACUCAAAUGUUAGUUUUAAUGGAAAUCUAUGUCAUUAUUUCAAUGGUAACAAUUAACGAUGUCAUCAAUUUGGACCUACAAUAAAAGUAGAGAGACUAAAUUUUGCCAAAUUGAAAUAGAGGAAUAAAAUUUCAAUUUCAGCUUGGUAGAGGGACUAAAACCAUAAUUAGACUAUAUGCUUUGAGAAAAUAUACUUAUAAAGGUCUCGAUUAUUUGUGCAGGUGGAUAUCCCCUCUUAUUUUGUUGGUUUUAUCUUGACGAACUGUAAACUUCCAAAAGAAAAAUAUGGAGCUCUUAUAUUAGCAGAUCCUUCACCUAUCCUAUUUUAUCCCAUUAGUAGCACUGAAAUUCGUUGCUUGGUGGAUGUUCCUAGUCAAAAUCUGCCCUCUGUUUCCAAUGGUGAAAUGGCUCAUUACUUGAAAACUUUGGUGGCUCCCAAGGUAUAUUUAUAUCUUUCUUUAAUCGACUCAUUAAUGGAAUUUGGUUGAACUUAUGUACUAACUAUAUUGAAGAAUUUAAAAUUUUGUGAGUAAUUUCAAGAAUGAAUUUUAAUAGCUCAAAUUCCUUUUUUAAGUUCCGCUUAAAUAGGUGGUUUUUCGAAAUCUCUAACAAUUUUAAAUGACUUAAUACACAUGGUUCGACUAUAAAAUAAAAACUUAAACCUCAAAAUUUAUUUUAUUUAAUUAUAAUAUAUUUUUAAAAUUUUAUUGUAUUAAAGUUAUUUAUAAAUUUUUACAAAUAUAAUGAUUUUCAUAUUGAAUAUUGUUUAUAUUAUUUAUAUUUAAUAUAAUUAUUCUUUUUAUAAUAUAUUCUAAUUUGUAAAAUUCCAUUAACCUAAAUUUUUUUGUAAACCAAUUAUUUAGCCCAACAAAAUAACUACAAAUACUAGCAUUUUAAAUAAUCUAAAAAAAUUCUAAUUAUAGGUCUCGAUCAUAUAUAAUCUUUUUGAUACAAUACCUAGAACUACCCAUAGUCCCUCCUCAGCUCAUAGAUAAAAGGAUAAUACGUUUCAGCAUACUCAAAAUCACGUCUUUCUCCUCAUGCCAAUUGAAUUAAGGUUCAAUAGACAAUUCGAUACAAAUUUAAGCAUAUAUUUUUUUUAUAUUUAUGUCAUAUGUUUGCUCUUUUUAUUGUGAAAUUAUUUUAAUUCUGGUUAAAAUUAUUUCACUUUAAGAUAAUUUAUGUGUUGUAAUUAUAUUUAAUAAUUAUUAUUUAUAAAUUACAAUAUAUUAUUAAAUGCAAGUAGUUUGAUUUUUUUUUUUUUUAUCUUUUUCAAUUGCGCGGAGUGGGGCUACUUCUAUUCAACCAUCUAUCACAUCAGUUUUAAGUAAAAUUAAAUUAAAUUAAAUUGUUUUUUUCGAAAAAUUAAAUUGAAUUGUCUUUUUCUCUUUGAUUUUCUCUUUGUCUUUUAGCAAUAAUAGCUUUUCAAGGCUUAAUUUAAUAAGACGUACCCGGGUUGGUUUAGUUUUUUAAAUUAUCUUUUCAUUGGUUUGAAUAUUUAAUAGGCUUAAUUUAGUUGGCAAGUUCUUAAGCUUGGUGGUAAUGGGUUUGAAUGAAGGAAUUCUAGUUGUCAAUCUUUGCUUUCACUUUCUCCUUAAUCAUCUACUUGCUAGAUGGUUUUGGUGCAGAACAAAUGAAAUUCAUAUUCGUUUAUGUGAAUAAAAUAAUCUUUUAUUUUUUAAAAAUGCUUUUAUAAUGAGAGAAUUAAUCACCACAGUAAAUAUUUUAAUUUUCACAAAAUAUAACUUUAUGAAAAAAAAAACUCAACUAUUACAUGUGAAAUUUAAAUUAAAUUAGGAAGGACCAACAAUUGAUUGCUCAAAUAAAUAUCUUAUUUUUUAAGAGGAAACUUCUUACUAUGAUCUUUUCAGAUUUUUUUUUAAGUUGAAGUAAAAUUAUUAGUUAUUAACGUGGAUCCCUUUUUAUAUUUUUAUUGAUACAAAAAGGUGGAGGCUCGUUGUCACCUGUGCAAUGGGAUAAGCCACUGACAUGACAGCAUCCAUGACAGAAGACAAAUUAAAAAUUUCGAGGCGUGAAGUACAAAAACAGCUUUCCAUACAUUGUUCUUAAAUCAAUGGCUGAGCAGUAUAUAGUUGGAGUUGCAGAUGUUAUAGCCUUUCUUUUGGGGUUUGUUUUCUUAGUGAGAUCUUGGGGGCUGAGCAAGCUGAAAAGAGCAGCUUCAAUGGAAUUCCCAAAGGAAAACUGUGUAAACAAAAAUGGAAAUGGUGAGGGUGAGGGUGAGGCUGUUGGCACUACGGAAGUUAUCAUAGUCGGUGCUGGUGUUGCCGGUGCUGCUCUUGCCUAUUCUCUUGGAAAGGUCCCAAUUUUUACGCUCCUUUAUUUUAAUUUUAUAGUAUUAAGUUCGGACUUGGGAUAAUAACAUUAACCAACUUUAAAGGUCGGUUUGGAUGACGAUUGAUUGCGGUGCGGUGCGGUGCGUUUAGUUUAAUUUUUGUCUCACGCUACAGUAUCGUUACAGUGUCUAAUCUUACCGCCACCGCUAUUUUUACACUAACCGCAGGUAAAUACACCGCCCAUCCAAACUCACCCUAAAAAGAUAAUUUUCAGUGGCCGAGCCACUGAGAGAUUCGGGGAGUCAGGGUCAAAGGUCUAAAAUUUUUCAAUUUCUUUUUUCUAUACAUGUAAUGUAAUCACCCUCCCAAAUAUAAAAAUAGAUUUUUCUAAUAUUUUUAUAGUAUUAUAAAUAAUAUUAAAAUAUUUUCGAUUAUGAAAAUUGUUAAAAUAAGAUUUCGCAACAAAAUGGAGGAUAAAUUUCUUAUAAAUAAUCUUGUUGUUUAUUUUAAGAGAUGUUGCCGAAACUUUUAAUCUAAACUCAAUAUUUAAUGAUUUUAUUUUUUUGAAAGAACAUCGUGCAUUAAUCAUAUACUAUUUCUUCUUGAUUGUUCUUUUUAAAUAUGUAUUUAUAUAACCUUUUUUAAUUUAUAUAUAUUUAGAAAUAUAAUAUGGAACAAAAAUUUUAUAUAAUUCUUUGUAGUGUAAUUAACAUAAAUAAUAAUUGUUAUAAUUUUUUUUUCGUAGCACGUCUAAUUUUAGUUUAGCUCUUUCAAAAUUAAUAUCUGAUUCCGUCACUGUUCAUUAUUUUAAAAUAAAUAUAAAAGAUACUUUAAUUAUGUCAAACAAUAAAAUAAAGAAUUGAAAUUCCAUCUUAAUUAUAUUUAAUGUAGAAAUACUAUAAAUAUUUACUAAAUAGAGAUUUUUAAAAAUAUUGUAAAGGUGGAGAAUGCUCCAUUUAGCGUCAAUUAACAUCAGUUUUUGUCUUCAAGUUUUCAUAAGAUCCUUGAAAAAUGGAUUUAACUAUGUUGUUAUACCUAAUAAUUUUUUUAUAAUUAUAUAUUGCAGGAUGAAUGUCGAGUGCAAGUGAUAGAAAGAGACUUAAAUGCACUUAAUAGAAUUGCUGGCGAAUUUUUAAUGCCAGGAGGCUACCUCAAGUUAAUUGAAUUAGGCCUCGGAGGUAAAUAAGAAAAUUAAUGGAAUAUAAUGUUACAAUGAUAUUUCUUUGUAUAUUUUUAUUUAUUUAUUUUACAUUAAAUGCUGGCAUUACAGAUUGUGUAGAUGAGAUUGAUGCUCAACCAAUUUUAGGUUAUACUCUAAACAAGGAUGGAAAGGAGGCUCUCGUAUCCUUUCCAUUGGAAAAGUUUCAGUCUCAUGUUGUAGGAAAAACCUUCCAUAAUGGUCGUUUCGUUCAAAGACUACGAAAGAAAGCCGCAUCUCUUCACAAGUACUUUCUCUCCUUCCUCCCAAUCAUUCUUUAAUUUCAAUAUAAUAUUUUAGAACAUUUAUCUUAAUGGAUUAAAUGACUUGUAGUUGUUUUGAUCCAUUACUUCUGUUUAGACCUAUCAAUUGAGCUCGUUCACUUGAUUUUGGUUUGAUCAAUCUAGAUAAAUCACUCAAGUUUUUAAACUUAACACAUCAUUUUGGUUUUUAUCACUUUAGGCUAAGGAUUAUUUUUGGUUUAGAUCAUUUCAUGUGUAGAUUUCAGUCAUUUUGGGUUCAAACAUUAGAGCUCCAGGUUCUAAAUUUUUGAGUCUAGUCAUUACAAUUUAAUAUCGUUUUGGUUCUAGUCACUUUGAGUUUGGGUCCUUUCAAGUUAAUUUUUGAAUCAUUUUGAGUUUGAGUUGUUUUAAGUUCAAGCUAGUUUGGGUUAGGGUAAAAUUUUGUUCAAGUUGGAGGGACUCAAAUUGUGGACCCUUUAUAGUCAAAUCAAAUUGGAUCAAAUUUAAGUUCCAAUUGGUCGAGUCAAAAUUGACAUGUUUGGUUCUUUUACUAUUACUUUGUUUCAACUUGUUUUAAUCAGAAAUUAUGCCUCUCUUUACAAGCUCCAAAUUCAUGUUUUGAUGAUAUGAUAACGCAGUGUAAGUUUAGAACAAGGGACAGUAACAUCUCUACUUGAAGAAAAUGGUAUUGUCAAAGGAGUGUACUAUAAAGAUAAGAGUGGUCAGUUGCUAACAGCUUAUGCUCCUCUCACCAUCGUCUGUGAUGGUUGUUUCUCGAAUUUGAGACGCUCUCUCUGCCAUUCUAAGGUGAAAAAAAUGCUUACAUAUAUACUCUUGUUAAAUUGGUUUAAUUCUUAUUUUAGUCACUCUAUAACGUUAAAAAUUUGAGAUUUAGUCCUAUUUUAUUGUGCCAUAAUUUGAUUCCAUUAUUUUUGUGAAGAUAUUAGUAUGUCAAAAUAGAUCAGUUGCUUUUAUUAAAGAAUUGACUUAUUUUUUGGUCAUAUAGUCAAGGUCACAUUGAAAUCAAGUCAAUUAGGUUGAACCAAUAAUGAAAUUUCAUGUUACUCGAAUGUUAGUUAGUUUUAACAAAAAUCUAUGUCAUUAUUUCAAUGGUAACAAUUAACGGUGUCAUCAAUUUGGAUCUACAAUAAAGAUAGAGAGACUAAAUUUUGCCAAAUUGAAAUAGAGGAAUAAAAUUCCAAUUUCAGCUUGGUAGAAGGACUAAAACCAUAAUUAGACUUAAAUUAUAUGCUUUGAGAAAAUAUGCAUAUAAAGGUCUCGAUUAUUUGUGCAGGUGGAUAUCCCCUCUUAUUUUGUUGGUUUUAUCUUGACGAACUGUAAACUUCCAAAAGAAAAAUAUGGAGUUUUUAUAUUAGCAGAUCCUUCACCUAUCCUAUUUUAUCCCAUUAGUAGCACAGAAAUUCGUUGCUUGGUGGAUGUUCCUAGUCAAAAUCUACCCUCUGUUUCCAAUGGUGAAAUGGCUCAUUACUUGAAAACUUUGGUGGCUCCCAAGGUAUAUUUAUAUCUUUCUUUAAUCGACUCAUUAAUGGAAUUUGGUUGAACUUAUGGACUAACUAUAUGAUCUAUGAUACAUUUCAGGUUCUUCCUGAAUUAUACAAUUCCUUUAUAUCUGCAAUAGAGAAGAAGGACAACAUAAGAAUAAUGCCGAACAAAAUCAUGGCUGGUGCUCCACACCUCACUCCUGGUGCUUUUUUGAUCGGCGAUGCAUUCAAUAUGCGGCAUGCUAUAACUGGAGGGGGAAUGACUGUUGCUUUAUCUGAUGUUGUGAUACUUAGGGAUCUUCUAAGACCUUGCAUGAUCUAUCUGAUGCAUCCGCCAUUUGCAAAUAUCUCGAAUCCUUUUAUACUCUGAGGAAGGUAUUGUAGUUCAUGUCCUAUAUGAAUUUUUUAAAGUGAAUAAAAAGGAACAAAAAAUGGCAUAAAUUU
rnacentral:lncRNA from 1 species